GCCCGGUUAGCUCAGUUGGUAAAGCAUCAGACUUUUAAUCUGAGGGCCAUGGGUUCGAGUCCCAUAUCGGGCU
rnacentral:tRNA from 1 species